CGCCAGACUCCUACGGGAGGCAGCAGUGGGGAAUAUUGCACAAUGGGGGAAACCCUGAUGCAGCGACGCCGCGUGAGCGAUGAAGUAUUUCGGUAUGUAAAGCUCUAUCAGCAGGGAAGAAAAUGACGGUACCUGACUAGGAAGCCCCGGCUAACUACGUGCCAGCAGCCGCGGUAAUACGUAGGGGGCAAGCGUUAUCCGGAUUUACUGGGUGUAAAGGGAGCGUAGACGGCUUGGCAAGCCAGAUGUGAAGGGCUGGGGCUCAACCCCAGGACUGCAUUUGGAACUGUCAUGCUAGAGUGUCGGAGAGGCAGGCGGAAUUCCUAGUGUAGCGGUGAAAUGCGUAGAUAUUAGGAGGAACACCAGUGGCGAAGGCGGCCUGCUGGACGAUGACUGACGUUGAGGCUCGAAAGCGUGGGGAGCAAACAGGAUUAGAUACCCGAGUACG
rnacentral:rRNA from 1 species